rnacentral:rRNA from 1 species
UACGAAGGGGGCUAGCGUUGCUCGGAAUUACUGGGCGUAAAGGGCGCGUAGGCGGAUAUUUAAGUUGGGGGUGAAAUCCCGGGGCUCAACCUCGGAAUUGCCUUCAAAACUGGAUAUCUUGAGUUCGGGAGAGGUGAGUGGAACUCCGAGUGUAGAGGUGAAAUUCGUAGAUAUUCGGAAGAACACCAGUGGCGAAGGCGACUCACUGCCCGACACUGACGCUGAGGAGCGAAAGCCAGGGGGAGCAAACGGG